GACGAACGCUGGCGGCGCGCCUAACACAUGCAAGUCGAACGAGCGAGAGAGAGCUUGCUUUCUCAAGCGAGUGGCGAACGGGUGAGUAACGCGUGAGGAACCUGCCUCAAAGAGGGGGACAACAGUUGGAAACGACUGCUAAUACCGCAUAAGCCCACGACCCGGCCUCGGGUAGAGGGAAAAGGAGCAAUCCGCUUUGAGAUGGCCUCGCGUCCGAUUAGCUAGUUGGUGAGGUAACGGCCCACCAAGGCGACGAUCGGUAGCCGGACUGAGAGGUUGAACGGCCACAUUGGGACUGAGACACGGCCCAGACUCCUACGGGAGGCAGCAGUGGGGAAUAUUGCACAAUGGGGGAAACCCUGAUGCAGCGACGCCGCGUGGAGGAAGAAGGUCUUCGGAUUGUAAACUCCUGUUGUUGAGGAAGAUAAUGACGGUACUCAACAAGGAAGUGACGGCUAACUACGUG
rnacentral:rRNA from 1 species